GGAGGGUACGCGAAUGGUUAGCAACCUGACUCGAAAUCAGGCGCCCGGCAACGGGUUGAGGGUUCGACUCCCUUGCCCUCCGC
rnacentral:tRNA from 1 species